rnacentral:rRNA from 1 species
GACAGAGGGUGCAAACGUUGUUCGGAAUUACUGGGCGUAAAGCGUGUGUAGGCGGCUACAUAAGUCGGAUGUGAAAGCCCCGGGCUCAACCCGGGAAGUGCACUCGAUACUGCGUAGCUUGAGUCUCGGAGAGGUUGGUGGAAUUCUCGGUGUAGAGGUGAAAUUUGUAGAUAUCGAGAGGAACACCGGUGGCGAAGGCGGGUCUCUGGACAGUUCCUGACGCUGAGGCACGAAGGUCAGGGGAGCAAACGGG